UACGUAGGUGGCGAGCGUUGUCCGGAUUUACUGGGCGUAAAGAGCGCGCAGGCGGCUGGUCAAGUCCGAUGUGAAAGCUCCCGGCUUAACUGGGAAAUUGCAUCGGAAACUGAUCGGCUGGAAGGUGGGAGAGGGUAGCGGAAUUCCCGGUGUAGUGGUGAAAUGCGUAGAUAUCGGGAGGAACACCAGUGGCGAAAGCGGCUUCCUGGACCAGCACCGACGUUCAGGCACGAAAGCGUGGGGAGCAAACAGG
rnacentral:rRNA from 1 species